rnacentral:rRNA from 1 species
GACAGAGGGUGCAAACGUUGUUCGGAAUUACUGGGCGUAAAGCGCGUGUAGGUGGCGAGGCAAGUCGGGUGUGAGAGCCCUGGGCUCAACCCAGGAAGUGCACUCGAUACUGCCUAGCUAGAGUCCCGGAGAGGUUGGUGGAACUCUCGGUGUAGAGGUGAAAUUCGUAGAUAUCGAGAAGAACACCGGUGGCGAAGGCGGCCAACUGGACGGUGACUGACACUGAGACGCGAAAGCGUGGGGAGCAAACAGG